AUGCUGACUAACUUCAAGGCCUGGACCCCGGUGUGUGCUCUUUUAAGUGCAGGGAUAGUAUUCAGCUUUGAGGUCACGCCUGCAAUGCAUGCUGGGGGACAGACUGAGCCGGAAGCAGGAGAGAGGAAGGAAGAAUUACCACUGAGCUGCUCUGAACACAUACAUACGCUGCACCCUGGGAUCCACGGAGGGGCUCUCAGACUUGUUACACAGCUACUGCUGUCUGACAAAUGACCAAACACAACCUUUAGAGCUGACCUACACAAGCCGAGGAGGGGCGCGAGGUUGGCUGAUGUCAAAAGAAAAACAAUGAGUGGAACAAAAUCGAUGAAACUAGUGCAACCAUCACUCCACCAACGAGGGACGUUAAACAACGACUGCGCUGCUGGGCAAUUACCAUGAUUGGAGGGAGAGUGUAUGUGUAUUUGUGUGUUAGUCCCUCAGGUAUUCUCCAAGCCACUUUUGAUUAGCACAUAUGCUUAAACCGAUACGAAGUGACUGUGUAUCUGCGUGUGUGUGUUUAUGUGCAAGGCUGUCUUCAUUACCAUGUGUGCUUUUACGGACGAGGGUUGAUCAGUCAAUGCUGUGCACUUUAUUUAUGAGUAAAAGGAGACAGAUGGAGUGGGCUGAGGUAUUGACGAACCAUUGCCUUUAAAUAGGAAUCAAUAGGCAGGGAGGAGCCGAAUGACACACACAUUAACUCUGUAAUAUGAGGGGAUAUGAAAUCACUGAUCUCACUUGCUAGGGGCUUAGCCUGUCCUGUCUCUCUUAUCUCCCUCCUUCUAUUGCCAUUCGUGGCUUAAGUAAAAUAGGGGUGCAAGGUUGAGAUUAAACAGUGGAGGAAUGUGCUAAUCAAGGCUAUUCAUUAGCAGAAAGGUGUGCUAGCAUUAUGAGUGUCAGUGACGGGAUUUCACCCCCACACAAAAUAUGAACUAAAGUUAUUAAAACUGUUUUCAUUAAAUUAACAAAGUAUAAGUAUUAUAAAAGUGAAUAUAAGCAUUUUUUAAAAUUCUUAAAAAAAUAAAUAAAUAAAUAACUGAAAUAGGCUAAAGUAC
ensembl:lncRNA